UCCGGCUUCCGCCGGCGCUGAGCGGCUCAGGUACGCGCCUCGCGCCCGCUGUGGUCGCGCCGCGGCCGGCGUUGCCUUUGCCCCCAGCUCGGCCUCCCUCCGGGCGCACCGGCGGCGGCACCUGCGCUUGUCCCGGCCGCCCGCACUCAGCGUGCUGCGUGUCCUCGGCCCGGCGGUGCGGGAGAGGCCGCUAGCCCAGCACGGCCCCGGCUGGGUAACGGGGCUCCGCCGUUCGCCCCGGGCUCUCCGCCGCGGCCGAGGCACCGCGGUUCCCGCAAGACAGCGUCUUUCCCUUGCCCUGUGCUCGGAAAGACCUCGCAGCGUGUGCUGCUUGUGUCUUUCCCUCGCCACCUCCACGGCAUCGCUAUAGCGCAGCUCAUCCCGAGCCUUUCAACUAUAUUUGGGGGGUUUGUGUGUUCUUUCCCCCCCUUUUUUCUGUUCUCUUGGGUCACACGUACCCUGACACGGUAACACAAGCCCUAUGCUCCAGCGGGAGCACCGGUAACCGGUCUCAGCACACGGGGACAGUUGUUUAUUUCCCUCCGAACAGAGCUACCGGACAGCGGAGCGGGGACAGGGGGUUCAUCUCCUCGCGAAAAUGGCCAAAGGACACCGGGACAAGCGAAGGGACGGAGAGAUAAAUAAGAAAACACGUUAACGUAGCCGGAUAAAAGCCCGGCCGGACUAUUCCUCCAGUGCAAACACCGUACGCUCCCAUCCGAGCUGGCCGCCAAGUGCGGGCGAGGGGACACAGACCUGGGCACCCCUCCGCAAAGAAUUAAUUGCCCCUCACCUCCUCACACGCACUUUUUCAUGUUGCCACAUGCACACCCCCUCCUCCUGCAGCAGAAAUAAUAUAUGUGGCUAAUGCCGCAGGUGCUGAGGUGACUGGAAAGUUGUAAAAAGGCACAGAGACUUGACAGUGUCCUGCUCGGAAACCUGGUGUACCAAGACCCCCCGAACGGAGAUAGGCUGCGGCUCAAUUUCAAAGACAAGGCUGCAGCAUUCCCACUGAUCCUGACAGAACAAACCCGACCUUUCCCCGAAAUAGGGACCAGGAGCGACUGGAAAGACAGAAAGGGGGAAAGGAAUCUUUUCCCGUUAAAAUGUGGGGAAACUGCCUUAUGAUUUCCAAAUAACCCAGAGCCGAGGAGGUCACCUUUCGGGGAGGGUGGGCGUUCAAAAUACAGAAUAGCCACAGAUUGUUGCUGAUGUUGAAUUUCUUUAGGAGGAAUAACAAUAAUAAUAAAAAAAACCGAAACCCCAGCCCAACACCAACCUUUCCUGCCUCAAACCUGACAAAGUAAACAGGAUUAAUUCACCACAUGAAAAAAUUACAUUAACGCCGUCUUAACAAACGUAGAAAUCAGAAGAGAAAGCGGGUUUAACAGGACGGACAAUAUUAAUAGUUUGAACGUAGGAUCGUAAAAAUGAAAAGCCAUUGAUACACGCUUAAAAGCCGCCGUAUACGCUGAUUGCUCAAGCAUUAAUGAAGAAUGCCCCAGAUUAACUAUUUGCUCUUCGAGGGAUGGAGCAAUAUAACUAUCUAUUAGCACCAUUAGAUGCUUUGCUAUUUAUUUGAAAACACCCCUGCGAGUGGGUUGAGGCAGAACAGAUGAAUGUAAAAAUGAACUGCAGCUAAUUUCGCUCAAUAAUCCUCGAAACCUGAGCGCCUCGCAGAGCAGGGGGACAUUCUCCACCGUCCUUCUCCCAGCCUAAUGACAAUAGGAACGCUCUGUUUUAAAAGUAAGAGCGUAUUGGUUUCCCAAAUAAACAAACGCAUCCCUCCUGCCAUUUUACUGCAGAUGUAAAUUUAUUUUAAUGAGAGGGAGUGGAAGGAUUUAUUUUGCUAAAAUAGAGUUGGGGAGAGAGCCGGUGUAAAUCUUUAGGUUUAAAAAAAUAGAGAAGAAGGGGAAGCUGCUUUCCUGGCAGAAAGCUUCAUAACAGUCCUCUAAUUCUUUCUAGAUUAAAUCGCAAUAUGAAUACAGCAUCGAAUAAAUACCGAGUUUCGCUCUGAACUCAGUGGAAAGCAGUUACGUCUAACAGAAUUCAAUGAAUUCCUCUUCUCCCUCAAUGUAGUAUGUGUGUGUUUUUCUCUUCCACCACACUGAAGUUCCAUGAAUAGGGAAAGUGGCUCCUAUUGUGUGCCUCUGAACUUCCAAGUCAAUGCAAUUUUUAACCACUGGCUUGUGGUACUUUGAAAAUCACCAGGGGCUGUCAGAGUUGGGUCCUCUGAAAAAUUUACAGUGCUAAAUCAGAGCAUAUGCUGUGAGAGAGGAAAAAAAAUUGCUUAAGAUUGGAGCAAGUACAGUAUCCGGCUGCCCCCUAGUGUAAGUCUCUUAUCUGCCUAAAAUUCAACUUUAAAAGAAAAGGAUCUCUUAAAGGGAAACGACUUUUGGCUCACGUAUGCGUACGAGAAUGAAACUUCUGUACAUUUUAAUCUGAUUAAUUCCUAAGGAUUUUAAAUUAAUUGGCUUGGGCACUCCUAGACCGGACUAUAAGAUUUCUGCAGCAGGGUUUCUGCGAGCGCUGCACCGAAUAGAGCAAAACACUUUUGCUGCUUAAAGUCACAUCUACGCCUUUUGCGAUAAUCCUUUAAAAAAUAUCCAUUAAAAAAAAAUGAAGGAGAAAUAAUUGCUUUAAAGCCUCGGCCGAACUGCCAACCACACCUUCGGAUGUUAGAAGGCAGAAAUACGCGAACUCCUGAGAGAGGUGGGUACUUUUUGGGCCUGCCUCAGACAUGACAUAAAUAGAGAUUGAACUAUCAGGGAAGAGAAAAGAAUAUAAACCCAAACCCCUGGACAGGAAUAGACACAGGCAGAUAUAUAACUGCAUAUGAACAAUGUUACAUACCGUGUUCGGGGAUGGUAACAAGAAAUAAUAAAUAGAUCGCAUAUUUAUAACCUUAUAAUUAAAAUACAUUCUUAUCUCUCUCCUCUGAAAGGUUGCAGCUUUCUUGGAUAUAUUUUGAUUGCAUAUUUUAAAGUCCGUGUCCCGAAUUGAAUUGAGAUGAGCUGUUUUACCCAAGAGUAAACCCCUUGUUUACAAUUUGAUGUUUAAGUUUCAACUGCCUAUCAAUUGCCGUAUCAUUUCCUUUGUAUUUUACCUCCUUGCACUUGGAGACUUUAUUUAAAAUGGUGCUAGUUUCUAGCAAAUGCUAAUUUCUGUGUAUCGGAAAUUAGCCAAUAUUAUCCAAAACAAUCCCUGUGUUUGGCUGAGGCAAAUUGGAUGAGAUUUUUUUCCCAUUCAAAGGGUUAAAGCUAAACUGAAAACUUUAAAGCCAAGGGAUACCAGCAAACAGUAAAAAAUGGCACGUCUGCUCUCUCUUGACAAGCUUGCAUUAUAUCAAAUGUAAGGAAGCCCAGUUUUCUGAGUCUAAGACCAGUUUUAGUUUUUAAUAGGAAAUAAUUACAUGGAACUUUAUUUCCAGAGAGAACGUCCCUUCCAGCUACAGUGUUUUGCUUUGAUCUAAGUAUUAACUGGUAAUAAAAUAACCAUAUUUUGGAUCCUAAGCAUAUUGAUGCUUAAAGGAAUGUUAUGCUUUCAAUCAAAAUCUAACUUGAGAUUAUCCAAAGGUAUUCAUCCUUCUUUUGUCAGAAACCAAUUUGCUCUCUUAUUCCCACAGCUACCCACAUGUGGUUUAGUAUACUUUAGCUGUUUUUUUACAGUAGAAUUUGCACUAUCGAGGUGGAAAACUUUUAAAUGGAGAGAGAUCAUGUUCCAGCCUGGUAAUUUGGGCUGUUUCUCAUAGAGCGACCCAGUCCAGCCCUUCUUUACACUUGUUGUACACCACCAGCAUCGCCCAUCUCCGAGGGUGACUACCGCAAACGUCUCUGCAGCAGGAUUUUGGUUUAAAUCUUCAGAUUUUUUUUUUGUUUCUUUUUAAAACCUGCAGAAUCAAUCAUUUGGACCCAUCCUGAACAAUUAACCUCGUCUUUAUAUUACAGCCCCAAGCACAGUACUUCAUAAAGACAUGAAAAGGACAUCCCAGACAGCAGGACCCGAUCCCAGGCUUGUCACAGAGUAUAAAAGGAGAGAGAAGGGGAGUUUUUAUCUCUUUGCCCCACCAAUUCUUAAUAGUUCUAAGUUUCAGUGUGACAAUAAACCAGUUUUGAUAACAUAGCUCAUGGGUUUCCCUGCCACAUAAAGUUUUCUUAAUAAUAAAAAAGAAGAAACUUUAUCCCUGCUAAAUUAAAAUAGGGCAGAUGUUGGAUAUGGUUCAUAUUAGACAGCCUUUCACCCUUUUGCCCCUGGCACUAAAGUUCUGACUUUUUCUUUCCACUAUGUCUGCUUCUAACUGAAAGGUAUUAUUCCUGCCCUAGCCCUCUUCUUCUAUUUAUUUUUUCAGCGCCUAAAAUUAAACCUAUUCAUUUAGUAAUAUACAUUCUAUUGCAGAUUGCUAAAUCUGGGCAGAGAGGGAAAACGUUUUGCUAAAAGUGAUGCACCACUGACCUUAAAAGAAAACAUGAAGCAGGGAAAGCUGUUCUGAAAAGGUUUAUUUCAGGAGAAUUCUGUAGCUCUGUUGACAUUAUAAGGAUAAUGGCUGUAUUGCAAUGCGCUUUCAAGGCCCAAGAGGUUUAUGUUUUCUUCUGACCAUAAGUAUAAUAAAAUUUUAAAGGUGCACAAAGUCUCAUCACUUUAGAUAUUUAAAACUAGGUUGAAAAAACCCUUAGGAAACACACAUUACAGUGGACAGCCCUGCUGAGAGAGCAGGAAAUAGGGGAAAAAAAAACAACAAACCCCAAACCCAAAUAAAACCCCCAGGUUUUUUAUGCUAGCUCUAUGAAAAUCCUGGCUAUUAAACUCCCAAGGAUAGCACAACUCUUUUCUCUAGGGCUGUGAAGAUAGAAUUUAUUGUCCAUUUGGAACGAUCAAGUUUAGGCUAAUAAAAGGCCCUCUGUAAGCAGAAGUGCCCAAGUUGAUGUUUGGCAGAGUUUUCAAUGGUAGAGUUUAUAUAGGAUGGGGGCUCUGCGCUAUUCGAAAUUACUCAUCUCUCAGCAGCCGAGGAUGAGUUGACAUACAGAAGUAAACGUUAGUAGGCAACGGCUGAAGGUUAAUCAGCACUGCUUUCUGAACUGGAGGGUUGAAAGCAGGAAGAAGUGAAAGCUGCUCUCUCGAGCCCUUCCUUUUGCUAAGGUGCUGCUAACUUUUAUGAUUUUUCUCUCCCCCCCUCCUCUCUUCCUCUUUUACUAUCUGUCUUUGUGCCUGAGGGCCAGUGAAAGAACACUGCAGAUUCUAGAUUGCUUUCAGAGUUUCCCUUUGCUGAUGAUGGAUUACCAUGUCAAUUUAAACGGCAUAGGAUUAAUUUGUUUCAAUGAUUUCUCUUUAGGCUGAAUGCCAGUCUUUUUUUUCCUGUCUUUCUCUUUGCUCUUAAUAAUAAUAACAAUAAUAAUAAUAAAAAAAUCCUUAAAAACCCCAAACACUUUUGAUCUCCCACAUUAAAAAGACAAUAAUAGAAACAGACAAGUUAGGUGUAAUGUUGCAAAACAGUUGUAGGUUUGAGUGUUUUUAUCUCAUUCUAAGGGGCUGAAGCAUACAGUCAGUCACAUUAAAAUGAAAUUGGAUCCAACGUUUAUUCAAUAAAUACUUGUCUUGUAGGUAAUCCAGAGCAGAGUGCUUUUGACACAUAAGGACUUAAUUUGUCUUGGAUAACAAGUUAUUAAUAUGGCACAUUUAAACUUGCCACCUACAAUAAGGUCAUUUAGAUCUAUAAUACGACUCGCAAGAGAACUUCAUAAAGCCAGAAACAAAGUUUGAGGCUGCCUCCGAGUUGUGGAGCAGAACGUGGUUUGCUCUUUUCAGCAGAAAGUUCAGAGCCAGUAAGAGCUACCCAAACCCAAGUGGUGUGCAUCUGCUCUCCUUUGGAAGGCAAACGUAAAUGGAGUAAGGAGGGGAGAGGGAAAAAAAAGAACCCAAACACACGUUUUUGAAUGAGUAAGCUCGAAAGCUGCGCUGCGUCUGCUAGCAAACUCAUCGCAGCUUUGGGAGUGAAAAAACAACAUUUGGUUCCGAGUGGAAAUUCGCCUGCGUUUGCACCCUACCUCUUCCAUGUGCUUUGCAAUUUACUUGCCUUUAAUAAUAAGCGAGGAAGUUGGAACAUAAUCCACCCAUAAAUGUUAUUGCUGUAAUUUGACUGUGCUGUGUUUGUUCAUGCAUUAGCCGUAUAUGUAACGCGAAGUGGGGAUGUAUGGUGGUGAUCCCCGUGCAGCCUGAACAAACAGAGAUGUUUUGGUACAUACUGGAUUUCAACCCCCAAAUGCUCUGCAAUCUGGGAAGCUGGAGGUGGGGUGUUUAGUUUCAGACCUGUCCUAACCAAACAAUGCCUGCAUGAGGUUCAUCAGGAGUGGAAUAUCGGGGGCAUGUGAUGCAGGAUGUGUUCUGUGGCUGGUGACUCGGUGUCCACACCGUUAUGCAUGAGCUUUAUUAUUCUGCUUUGAUGUAUUAAGCUCUUGGUUGCCCCUGCUCUGGCAGAUUCUGUCUCUUUAAGUAACUAAAUCUAAUUUUUAAGCUCUUCCUGGGAAAAGGAUGUUACACAUGAGUAGAAAAACGCAGGCGAGAAAGGCUAAUUGAAUGAAAAGAGAGAAUUAGGUUAAAAAUAGAGUACAAUCUAGUAUCACAUUUUCACUAGUGUAACCUGAAAUGAAGGUGUCUCCAAGUCCCUAGUGAUGCCAGAGUGUUUAGAUGUUGGGCACAGAUGGAGACACCUAUUGAAAUGUGUCUGAAGAAGAUUAAUAGGACUUGUCAGUGUUGGGAAAGCACUGCUUUGCUGUAAAUUUCUACUAGCACAAGAUGAAUUACCGAUGAAUGCUCAGUUAUCAACCCCAUCACUAUCAUUGGACACUAAAUCAAAUUGAGCAGUUAUCUACAAUCAGAAAAUUUCUUUUAAAAAUAGGCAUACACCUUUAGGCUUAAACUCUUUUAUAAGGCAAAAUCCUCUGUGGUAUGUGUGUGUUCAUGAAGGGAUAUGAUUUAAAGUUUCUAUACAAAAAGCUUCUGUUCAGAAACAAACUCCAAGUUUAGUGUGAAAUCUGAGUUGUCAAACAAUAGAAAUAUUCAGAAAAUACUGGUUAUAUGAUACAAUGUUCUGCUGGGGGCCUGAUCCAAAAUGGAUUUUCGUGCAUGUCAUUGAAUUUUGGAUCCGUCCCUAUUUGUGAGAGGUUUUUCUUUCAUCCCUCCUCUCCCCUUAUUUUUGGUGAUGAUAAAAAAACUUCUCUCUACCUUAAAGACUGAGCAUCCAAGAUCAUAUAUGAAUGCAGAAUAGCUGUCAAGACUCAGGAUUUAUGUAUCAUAAUAAUACCACCCCCCAACUUAUUUAUGAAAUUACAGCUUAACAUAAUGAAACAUGCGAUGAAAGAAUCAAUGAAUAAUAUGUUAACUGAGAAUAUUUCCUUCUAUCCUUUAUAAGAGGGGAAACUGUCACAAGAAAAACUAUCAUAAACAUUUACCAUCCCGCUGCUGAAGUACAUUACCUGUACUUACUGUGUGAUGUUGAUGAUGACAAUGAUAUUAAAUAAGCAUCCUCUAUCUUUAGUUUCUAGGAUUUCUUUCCCUCUCACCCAGGCAUUGUGCUACUUUAUCCAAGGAGAUUUAUCGUGGCGUAUUUUCAGAAGUCAAUUUUUACCUUUUAUUAUAGACAAGGGCAGUCAUUUAUGUUUAGGGAGGGAGACAGGUACAGUGCCUUUAUCAGAUCUGUGUCCCCAGCCACAGCUCCCUUCUUAAUCGAUGGCAAAUUCCCACUCUGGAGGAUCGGGCCCUAUCUGGGCUGCUUCUCAGCCCAGGAAUGUAUCCUUCCCUUCACCUCCACAUAUCUUACCUGUGAUGUAUGCUACUUUUUGAGGAGGGAAUAAUACGCUAUUUACCACAAAGUGCAGCUUCAAAGCCUUUGUGUGUUUCUCAUCUCCAGCCAAAAGCUUAUUAUUUACCACCUCAUAAAUUUACCCGGGUGAGGGAUAGUAGCAGUUAUUGUCUCCAGUUUUACAUCCUAAUUUUCACACACCAAAAUGCCCUGUAUUAGGGCCAGAUUCUUACUCAGAUGGAAGUUAUUAACUUUAGCAGAACAGAGCCGAUUUCAGCCAGCCACAGCCCGUGCCCUUCUAACACAGUCACUUUACAGCGUCCCCUUGUUUAUUUUUUCCUUUGGAGGGCAUGAUUCGUUAAACAUGUUUGUUUUACACAGAGCAGCAGUUGAUUCCUAACUUCUCCCCCCCCCCCCCCCCCCCCAAAAUAUAAAGAGAAUAUUAAUAGAGAAUAUUAAUAGAGCUGAGUGCGGUGUGAUGCUAGUUAGAUUGUAGUAGCCGAGAAAUAUGAACUAGCGAACAUAAUCCAUAAACUCCAUUUGGUUACUAUAAUACUCCAAUCUGUAUUUAUUACAACCCCACUCUGAUGCUUAUACAACUGCAAUUGCUAGAUUUAUACACUUUAAUGGUUUCACAAUAGGAAAAACCUGUGUUCUUUAUCUUUCUUUUCCUGUCCAAAAUAACCCCUUCCACAUAUACUUCAGGCUUCUCCAGACCUUGUCUGGGUUUAAUCACAGGCUCUGGGACAAAAUGUGCAUUAUUAAGAAAUAUAAAUAUUUUCAGAAGCAAUCAAAGGGUUGAAAGAUUGAUUCGGCAUGUAGAUUGGAUUUAAUUCGAAGCAGCUUUGUUCUAAUGAGGACUACUGGGAUACAAAGACGGCAGCCGCUUAUGGCCACCAGUUGGGAACUUCGACUCGCUGCAGCAACCUGUCAAGAAUUUCAAGGGACUGCCAGGUAUUAAGCAGAGAAGUGAUGGGGAAGCUGGUGGUCUAUUGUUUUCAGCCUCCUUCCGAGGCUGGAUUAAGGCUUCAUAGUCCCUGUUUUCCCAAAAUGACAAUUAAGGUUAAUUUCUUGCUGCCCACAGGACCAAAUCCUGUUCAGGGGGAAGCCCCUCUGGACUUUAUGGGGGGCUUUGCCUAAGGGAGAGGUGGCAAAGUUUGGCUGAGCCCCAAGUCCAGCAAAUCUGAGAGCCCCGUAGUGAUUUGUUCUGCUUCCAGACCUGGUGUGGCUGCUUUUGGUGGCUAUUUCUGUUAAAUUUUGCUACCUGUGCUCCUAUACGGCACAGGACCUUUUUGCAUAGGGCAGUGUUUUCCCUGUGGCGAAAUACAGCUCUGUGUUGGCUGGGAAGCUCUUGUGUCCUUGUUGGGUGACCUGGACCUGUCCUGUUUCCCGGGGAAAAGUCUCAGACAUGCAACAAAACAUCCUUGAGGUGAUGCUGAAUAAAAUGGGACACCCGAGAGCUUUACCCUUAGACUUAAAAGAACCCCCCAAACAGUAAGAUUUCAGUGUGCGCCGUGUGGGGGUGUCACAUCACAGGUAUUUGGGGAGCACAAGACCCUGGCAGCUUUCCUAAGUGUCUAGCGUACAGUCAGAAUCACAGUAUAUAUAGGAUCAAACACUGACUAGUUUCUCUCUCCCCUUAGCCCCCCUCCCUUGCCUACUUUUGUCCAUAAAAGCAAGAGAAAGAGAGAAAGCUUGAAUUUUCUGAACUGUUUCACCCAUCCACAGCUGGAAUUCCAAAGCGAAAUGAAAAUGCCUUUAAAAUCAACCCUACAUGGGAGCCUGAGAGAACAAGUUUUCCUUUGUUGUAGGGUAUAGUAUUAUUUGCUGUAGGUUUUUGAUAUACAUUCUAAAUUAGGCCUGCAAAGGAAUGCUUCAUCUUUAAUUCAUCACUCUCAGCUGAAAGAGAUUAGCAAUGUCUAGCACGCACCCUUCGUAUGGUGCUGACCUCAUCAAGUAUGGCCUGAAAUUAAUUAGCCUCAUUCAUUCCAAAUGGAAAAGGAUAAUGGAGCUGCAUUUUAGAGAUGACCAUCACAAAUUGUAUGCAGCAUAUUUAAAAUCCCUCCUCCCCGCCCCCCCAUUCCCCUCCCCAUUAAAAAAACUAUGUAGAUUAAAAUUCUUUCCAGAACUUGCAAUAUGUCAGAGUUAUCGAGCAGAAACCACUCCGUUUUUAUUUGUGGAACUGGGAGCCACGUUUUGUGUGUGUGGCUGUAAAAGCAGCAAGCCUGUCAUAAAUGGCACAACACCUGGAAUUAAUCUGAUAUUUCCAGGUGCUCUGGCAAGCUGGGGCAUCAAGCGCUUGGUGUUUAAACAUUCUUCCACUGGCUUGCUUAAAUCAAUAUGAAAGUGGUGUCCCUUUGUCAUUCAUAGAUGCAAAGUGCUAGCACAAACUCCAGCUUGGCUUCAGAGUCCUACAUCACUCAUAAUCUAAUUAGAAAUCAGAGCAGAGCCGAAGCAGCAUUCUUUGUGGAUUCUUGGGCAGCAAAUAGGGAUACUUGUCUUUUGUUUCCCUCCUCGAUUGCAUCGUUCACAAGCUUUCACACCACAUCUCUAAAGGUGGUUAGGUGCCUCAAGAUGUUGACAGGCAUGAAGGACAAGAUUAUUUAGGUAUUUAGGUGCCUACCCAGGGUGAUUUCAAAUGGAAUUAAGCAACUGGAUGUUACUGGGGGAAAAAAAGGGGGGGGGGGUGUGCAGGAAAAAGAAAAGCUUCCAAUGCGUAUGAAAAGCUCUAAUUUGUUGUCCUAAACUCUAGCAACGUGGGCGAUGUUUUUCCAGGGUAAAAUUGCCUGCAGGGUGAAUUUACUGAAGUCUGGCAGUUUAUAUUGAGAUGAGUGGGUCCUUGGUUUUGGGCAGUGCAGCUCCAUCAGCUCCUCCCUGGCCAGGCACAGGGGUGGUGCGUGCUCCCGUUGCUUCCCAAGAGACAGGAAAGUGGUAAAGAAUGCAGGAUUUCCCACAGGAAUUUGGAAGAUGCCCAUGUUUAAGACAAUGGUGAGGAUUGAGCCCAAAUCCAGAUCCAGCCUGGAUUCCUCCACCUGGGUAGUCCUGUCUCAACCUACAACUGCUGAUGGAUAGUGGCAACGUGGAUCUUCCUGUCUCCUUACUCCCCAGCACCAGAUCACCAAGAGGGCCUGAGAUAAUACUGAAUGAAGCAUCACAAGACCAUGACUGGAAAGUGUGGGAGCCACACACACACAGAGAUGCUGGUUCCCUGACUGCCACUGGUUCAUCUCUGUCAUGGCACAAGCUACAAGAGGAUGGAGGAUCAUUGUAAGGAUCAUUCCUGCCCUGGCUCCUCCUCAUCAGUGCUUUGAGCUGUGUGAAGCCCUGAGAACCAAGGCAACAUGAGUCCAUGACCAGAUGCACAUGGAUAUGCUGGUAAACUGCCAUUCGGUCCAGAGGCUGGACAGAAAUAAAUCACCAGAUAAAAUAUAAUAUUCUGAGUGAAAACCUUUAUGGAACAUGUUCUUGCCCCAAACUCCUCCUGGAAUAGGCGCAGUAAUGCUCCCUGAGACCUGGCAGCCCUUCUAAGUGAACAUAUGGUCUGCUCAGCUCUUGCAGUACUUCUGCAUGGUUCCUGAUGCUAAAGGUCUGACCUUAAAAUAAGCAGUGCAAGAAUGGGUGCCGCAGCAAGCUUCUGGCCUUCAACCCUUCCAAAUACAGCUAUUUUGGUAACCAGAACAGCAUAUUCAUGAUGGGUGAGGGAACAGAGCCUUCCAGUGAAGGAUUUCUUGGCACAUUAACUCUAUCAGUGCUGGAUGCUGCAUCCCUCUUCAGGUUGCUUGUGUCUAUUUAAGAUACUAAAUACAGAUUUGCAGAAGCCUUGUAACUUCACGGAUGUGCUUCAGUGCCUGCUGCACCUAAAUAUUAACCAUUUUUCCUGGGGAUUUCCACAUAGAUUUGGGGAGAACUGCAAUCACACACCUCUGUGAGUAGCUCAGACUUGGAUUUCUUGUCCACGGGAGGGGCACAGCCUGGUUUGCUACAAUGCAACUGUCUUCAUUAACGUUCUUCAAGCCUGAUGUACUGACCUUGUACACCAUCAUUCACCACUGUAGGGUAAGAAGAUCGGGGAGUUUUCUAGGCUCAUUCUUUUGGCUUCAGAAUGUUAAAUUGGGUGAUAAUGAGUAGUAACUGUGUCCCUUUUUAUGGUGAAGUUGACACUUGCCUUCUUGUAAACAGACACAGAGAUGACCCUCCUCAUUUCACACAGGUCACCAAACAGCCCCUGGGAUCGGAAGGGUUAUUGGCCAUUUACCAAACUCUGUUUGACUUGGGUUCAUGGGUGAGAGAUGAAAGGCACUAUAUUGCAUUACCAAACCCUGGGGCCAGCCAGUAUCCCUAAAGGAGCAUUUCAUUUAGCAAGGCAACUGCUGGUCCAUGGGAAUCGGAGAGUUAAGAGAAAGAAGAUGCAGUUGCAAUCACAGAUGCUUCCUUAGAGCAGAUGUCUUAAAGCCACACAGAAACUGCUUUAGCGUUGCAACAGUUGCUUCAGGGUGCUUAGGGGCCAGCAAAUUUUUCCCACAAUAUCCCAUUUUUCCCACCAAAAUAUCCCUUAGGUUACCAGUGGUGUUUCUGCAUCUGCCCUAUUCUGUUUUGCUCCAUCUCCCUGGAGGAGAUGCACCAUACCUGGGACAAGCAGCAGGUAUGAGCUAUUACCUUUUCUAAGAGCUUCAAAGUCUAGGCAGCACAUACCUUCCCCAUCUUCCAGAUGAAACAAGCCUCCCUGGUAUCACACUUAGAGCUGUUGGGAGCUUGGGAGAAGUGUUCUCCUGAACUCCCCAAAUAUUUUCAGUAUCCUAAAGCUGAGAUGCUGACUGAUUUUCUUGGCUGUAAUGGAGUGGUCCUUGUAAUCAGGGCAGUCUAAGUGCUGCCUUUAUACAGAUCAUGGAUGCAGUGCUUGAUGCUGCAACAGUUACAGGAAGGAGAACAUCUGCUGCUCAGACAGACCAAGAAUUCAACCCGGACCCAUCCUUAAUUUCUUAUGAUCUCAAAAGCCAGUGUGGUUCCAAAUUCCUUAGCACUGGUCAAAAUCCUUAUUUCACUUUUCUCCCUUGCUUUUUUUGUUGUGAAUUGUGAGGCAUUCAGAACUUUCAUUUUGUUUUUUGAUAGUUUUACAUUAUGGUUGCAGUAAUGCAUCUGCUGAGUCAGCAGCUCUUCCUCUGUGUGUUUGUCUGUUUUAUAAUCCACUUCCAGCAAGUUCUUGUUACCCAGUUCCUGCUGACAACCAGGGAACAGGCACAAGUCAGCUCUGAAAAUGAACGACUGGAAGGUAAGUGAAAGGAAUAGUAAAUGCAGGCCAUUCAUGUGACAGGAUCCGAUUCAUUUUUAUGCCAGGGAGAUGUUUUAAAUGGGACUUCUCCCAGUGGAAAGCUCUGCUGAGAGAAGGUGCUCAGGGCCUGCUUCACUAUAAAGACAAUACAUAAUUAUUCAGAGCUUAUUAUUAUUUUUUGUCACUCAUUUUCCAGUCACCCAGAGCGAGGGCACAGAUGAGAUCAGGACCUAGUUUAUUGCCAGGCACUGUACAGACUGUACAGUACACAGUACCGUAAGAGCCCUAUAAAAGGUUUUAACUAUCUACUUAAUGGAGGCAGACAAAUGCACCCAGGCUGAAGGUUAAAGCGACAGGUCUAAGAUGACAGAAGUCAUCAGCAGCAAAAAAAGGGACUCAGCCUGAGAUCUUCUAUCCCGGGAUCCUGCAUUUUGCUUUAGACAUCUUUUCUUUUUACAUUUAUUUCAAAUCACUGAAAUGAUGAACUGAGUAAACUUUGUGUCCUUUGAAGCACUGUUUAUUGUAUUUAUAGGAAGCAGAUUAUCUGUUCUCCCAAGCUAGUGGAAAUUAUUAAGAGUGAUAAACUCAUCAGGAAAAAAUGUAGGCUGGGUGUGACAGAGAAACCUGUAUUUUAUUCUGCAGUGCCAUCUUAAUCUCUGGUUUUGGUAUGACAGACUAUGAGGUCUCACCGAUACUGCACCAUCUUGUUCUCUGCUUCCAGGCUCAGGUCACAGGUUGGAUUUGGAAGCAGCAACUUUCAUGCAGAGAUGUGACUGGUAUCUGGAUACUAUUCCAGGAUAAAACAAAUGGCCAAUUUUAGCCUAAUCAUCACUUCUGCCAAAGGAAAGAGAAACUCUUUGAGGUAAGUCCCCUUGGAUAUAAUUCUUUCUUUCCAGGUUAAAGAAGGGCUGCAGCUAAUACAUAUCCUGAGCCAUAACGUGGAUUUGCACCUUUCCUGUUAAAUAUAGCUGGUUCGUGUCCAAAGCAUCACUUUUAUUCCUAAUGCUCAGUUAUACCAUUACAACUUCUACAUUAGUUGCAGGUGUGAAAUGCCAACUGAUCCACACCUCUCUUGCUGUCAGCAUGAGAGUAAUGUAUGUCAAAGGCCUUAUUCUCAGAGGUGAGGUCACCAGGAUCUGCCCGUUUGCACAUCUGCUUUGCUAAACACAAAACUCUGGAGAUUUGCAAAGCUCCAAUAUGGACAAAAUGGGAUGAGCUCACUGGGAGCCACACAGGAGAAACUAUUUGUGCUUCUCCUUUAGUGGGCAGGUCACAGAAUUUUCCCCCUAUACAAAAUAUUUGCUGUUUUACAACAGGCAGCAUUUUGCUAGUUUUCACAUGGAUAUUUGUAUGUUCUGUAUUAAUAAGGAAAAAGGCUACACUUCAUGUUACAUGACACAAGAAAAUUCAGGAUACCAAGUUAAAAAAGAGCUCAAUACAUCAAGCAGCUUCAGAAAGAUGCUAAUAUUCAGUGUGUCCCUGCUUGGACUGUGAAGAUACUAACUCCUGGAGGGACAAUGCUGCUGGAGACUGCUUCCGAGAGGCAUCCAGAUUUGGUUUUGAGGGCUUCAGAGAAGUGUUCACAUAAUUCUACUUCCUGUUGUUAGUGGAUUGUUUUUUAUACCUUGGAAAAAGUCUUUGAAUUAAUGUGUGCACAUGAAGUCUACAUCUUGCUCAGGGAUCUCUAAUACACAGUAUUUUUUGCCUUCUACAUUUUCCACAAGGUCAAAGACUAAUCGUAUAUAUACACUUAAUUAUUUCCUGAUUUCUGCUAAUAUCCUUUAAUAUCUGCAAUAAAGAUUCCCACAAGUAAUCUA